rnacentral:lncRNA from 10 species
UUUCUCUACACUGGUCAGAAUGGUCUCAAACUCCCGAUCUUAGAAAAAUAAUUUCCACUUUUAUUUUAGGUUCAGGGAUUGCAUGUACAGGUAUGUUACGAGGGUAUAUUGCAUGAUGCUGAGGUUUGGGACAUGAAUGAUCCUGUCACCCAGGUAGUGCGCAUGGCACCCAACAGUUUUGUUUUCAGCCCUUUCCCCCUUUUUUCCUCCCCCCAGAAUCUGUACAAGUUCCCUGUGAAUGAGCAUCACCUGGGAGGCCUUUCUUCUUUAAUCUCACCAGAGGUGAAACCUUUACCUUUAGUGAACAAGAGGCCACUUUCUGCAGGAAUCUGCAUUCUCAGUUUCCUGACAUUCUGGAAGGAGGUGGGGAAAAGGAGUGCGGGACUCUAAAACCUCCUAAGCGAGCAGGUGAAUCCAAACCACCUCACCUCA